rnacentral:sRNA from 14 species
AGAUGGAGGAGGAGGAAGAGGAGGAGGAGGAAGAAGAGGAAGAGGAGGAGGAGAUGGAGGAGGAGGAAGAGGAAGAGGAGGAAGAGGAGGGAAAACACAAUAAUAAGAAUGAGAAGCAGCAGAGAGGACGGAUUAAUUUUGUGUGACAGCUCAGGACGACCGAGUGUGAGAUGGAAAACUCUCUCUCUCUCUCUCCUCUCUCUCCCUCCUCUCUUCCUCCUCCUCUCUCCUCCUUCUCUCUCUUCCUCCUCUCUCUGCCUCCUCUCUUCCUCCUCCUCUCUCUCCCUCCUCUCUCUUCCUCCUCUCUCUCUCUCCUCUCUCUUCCUCCUCUCUCUCUCCUCUCUCUUCCUCCUCUCUCUCCCUUCUCUCUCUCCUCUCU